rnacentral:rRNA from 1 species
AGAUCUCAGAUGAGGUAAGAUUACCCGCUGAAUUUAAGCAUAUAAUUAAGCGGAGGAAAAGAAACUAACUAGGAUUCCCUUAGUAACGGCGAGUGAAGCGGGAAGAGCUCAAACCGAAAAUCUCUGUCCGGCAACGGGCAGCGAAUUGUGGUCUAUGGAGGCGUGUUCAGCGUGCGGCGCCGGCCCAAGUCCGUUGGAAGACGGCGCCUGGGAGGGUGAGAGCCC